CUGGCGGCAGGCCUAACAUAUGCAAGUCGAGCGCGCCUUCGGGUGAGCGGCGGACGGGUUAGUAACGCGUGGGAACGUGCCCUUCUCUACGGAAUAGCCUCUGGAAACGGAGAGUAAUACCGUAUACGCCCUUUGGGGGAAAGAUUUAUCGGAGAAGGAUCGGCCCGCGUUAGAUUAGGUAGUUGGUGGGGUAACGGCCUACCAAGCCUACGAUCUAUAGCUGGUUUUAGAGGAUGAUCAGCAACACUGGGACUGAGACACGGCCCAGACUCCUACGGGAGGCAGCAGUGGGGAAUCUUAGACAAUGGGGGCAACCCUGAUCUAGCCAUGCCGCGUGAGUGAUGAAGGCCUUAGGGUCGUAAAGCUCUUUCGCCUGUGAUGAUAAUGACAGUAGCAGGUAAAGAAACCCCGGCUAACUCCGUGCCAGCAGCCGCGGUAAUACGGAGGGGGUUAGCGUUGUUCGGAAUUACUGGGCGUAAAGCGCGCGUAGGCGGAUUAGAAAGUUGGGGGUGAAAUCCCGGGGCUCAACCUCGGAACUGCCUCCAAAACUGCUAGUCUAGAGUUCGAGAGAGGUGAGUGGAAUUCCGAGUGUAGAGGUGAAAUUCGUAGAUAUUCGGAGGAACACCAGUGGCGAAGGCGGCUCACUGGCUCGAUACUGACGCUGAGGUGCGAAAGUGUGGGGAGCAAACAGGAUUAGAUACCCUGGUAGUC
rnacentral:rRNA from 1 species